rnacentral:lncRNA from 1 species
AAUUAUUAAAAAAUAAUAGUUUGGAGAAAAGCUCCCUCUCUAUUCUCCUCUAAACUGCUCUAGAGCAUACAUGUACGGGCCAUGAUUAACUAUAGGUAGGGGACUAUGCAACCAUCAAUAUAGCCAGUUAUGGCCAAGUACUUAUAAUGAAAGAAAUCUUAAGUCCUUUACUUAGGAUUCGAUAUGACACUGCAUGCCACUACAAACUAUUGUUGUUUAGAUGCUAUUGUUGCUUUCUAGACUAAGAAAAAAGAAAUUAUGUCCAAGUAUAGACUCUCAUUUGUUGCCUUCCUACUGUAAAAUAAAAUAUUACAAAAAACUAUACUCUAACAUAUACUAAUUCCUAACUAAUUGAUAAAAAAUAGACAUUCAAUUCGACAAAAUAAUUUUUAUUUGUAUUUUUCAAACGAUAAUUUUACCCCAUAAAAUCAAAAUCU